rnacentral:rRNA from 1 species
UACGAGGGGGGCGAGCGUUUGUUCGGAUUUAUUGGGCGUAAAGAGCUCGUAGGCGGCUUGUCGCGUCGAAUGUGAAAACUCGGGGCUCAACCCCGCGCUUGCAUUCGAUACGGGCAGGCUCGAGUUCGGUAGGGGAGACUGGAAUUCCUGGUGUAGCGGUGAAAUGCGCAGAUAUCAGGAGGAACACCGGUGGCGAAGGCGGGUCUCUGGGCCGAUACUGACGCUGAGGAGCGAAAGCGUGGGGAGCGAACAGG